rnacentral:rRNA from 1 species
UACGUAGGGUGCGAGCGUUAAUCGGAAUUACUGGGCGUAAAGCGUGCGCAGGCGGUUCGUUAAGACAGAUGUGAAAUCCCCGGGCUUAACCUGGGAACUGCAUUUGUGACUGGCGAGCUAGAGUAUGGCAGAGGGGGGUAGAAUUCCACGUGUAGCAGUGAAAUGCGUAGAGAUGUGGAGGAAUACCGAUGGCGAAGGCAGCCCCCUGGGCCAAUACUGACGCUCAUGCACGAAAGCGUGGGGAGCGAACGGG